UCUUCCACAAUGGACGAAAGUCUGAUGGAGCAACGCCGCGUGAGUGAUGAAGGGUUUCGGCUNGUAAAACUCUGUUGUUGGAGAANNCCNNNUNUCAGAGUAACUGUUGACAUCGUGACGGUAUCCAACCNNNANGNCACGGCUAACUACGUGUCAGCAGCCGCGGUAAUACGUAGGUGGCAAGCGUUGUCCGGAUUUAUUGGGCGUAAAGCGAGCGCAGGCGGUUUUUUAGGUCUGAUGUGAAAGCCUUCGGCUUAACCGGAGAAGUGCAUCGGAAACCGGGAGACUUGAGUGCAGAAGAGGACAGUGGAACCCCAUGUGUAGCGGUGAAAUGCGUAGAUAUAUGGAAGAACACCAGUGGCGAAGGCGGCUGUCUGGUCUGCAACUGACGCUGAGGCUCGAAAGCAUGGGUAGCGAACAGG
rnacentral:rRNA from 1 species